rnacentral:rRNA from 1 species
UGGGCCGUUCGCCCAUUAAAGCGGUACGCGAGCUGGGUUUAGAACGUCGUGAGACAGUUCGGUCCCUAUCCGCUGUGCGCGUAGGAGUCUUGAGAAGGGCUGUCCCUAGUACGAGAGGACCGGGACGGACGAACCUCUGGUGUGCCAGUUGUUCUGCCAAGGGCAUGGCUGGUUGGCUACGUUCGGAAAGGAUAACCGCUGAAAGCAUCUAAGCGGGAAGCCUGCUUCGAGAUGAGGGCUCCCUCCCACUUGAUGGGGUAAGGCUCCCAGUAGACGACUGGGUUGAUAGGCCAGAUAUGGAAGA